rnacentral:tRNA from 1 species
CAGAAAAUAGUUUAGUUCCGAAUUCUGGCUGUGGGAGCCAGGGGGGAGAGUUAAAACCCCC